rnacentral:rRNA from 1 species
AUUGAACGCUGGCGGCAGGCUUAACACAUGCAAGUCGAGCGAGCGGCGGACGGGUGAGUAAUGUCUGGGAAACUGCCUGAUGGAGGGGGAUAACUACUGGAAACGGUAGCUAAUACCGCAUACCAUCAGAUGUGCCCAGAUGGGAUUAGCUAGUAGGUGGGGUAAUGGCUCACCUAGGCGACGAUCCCUAGCUGGUCUGAGAGGAUGACCAGCCACACUGGAACUUGGACACGGUUCCAGAUCCUACCGGUGGGAGGCAUGGGGAAUAUUGCACAAUGGGCGCAAGCCUGAUGCAGCCAUGCCGCGUGUGUGAAGAAGGCCUUCGGGUUGUAAAGCACUUUCAGCGAGGAGGCGUUACUCGCAGAAGAAGCACCGGCUAACUCCGUGCCAGCAGCCGCGGUAAUAC